CCUCUACUAACAACAAAACUUAGUCAAGUCAAUGGAAUAUUUAAUCUCUCUAGAUCAAGAAGAUGGAGCUCCCUUACGCCAUCACCCAAAUCUGCAACUCAGGAAAGCAAUUGAGUGGUCAUUUCCACUCCAGUCAAUGUGCUAGGAUUGUUUAGUGAUGGAAGAAAAUGUCAAAGAUGGCAUGGAUGAAGAACUUCGCGCAGACUCUCAAAGAUGGCAUGGAAAGCAAUUGAUUUGUUGAACUGUUGUUCUACAUGAUUCUCACAUGCAAUCCUUGACAGUUAUUCACUGUUACUCGGUCUGGUUGGAUUUCAAGAGGGUUUUCAGCAGAUUUUGUGCAUGUUCAUGAUGCGAGUAAUCAAUGGGUAGGGUACACACACACUCACAUGGUUUCUUACAGAAACUGUCCAUAUAUAAAUCACAUCCCUUUCCUUU